rnacentral:rRNA from 1 species
AUUGAACGCUGGCGGCAUGCCUUACACAUGCAAGUCGAACGGUAACAGGUCUUCGGAUGCUGACGAGUGGCGAACGGGUGAGUAAUACAUCGGAACGUGCCUAGUAGCGGGGGAUAACUACUCGAAAGAGUGGCUAAUACCGCAUGAGGUCUACGGAUGAAAGCAGGGGAUCGCAAGACCUUGUGCUACUAGAGCGGCCGAUGGCAGAUUAGGUAGUUGGUGGGAGAAAAGCUUACCAAGCCGACGAUCUGUAGCUGGUCUGAGAGGGCGAUCAGCCACACUGGGACUGAGACACGGCCCAGACUCCUACGGGAGGCAGCAGUGGGGAAUUUUGGACAAUGGGCGAAAGCCUGAUCCAGCAAUGCCGCGUGCAGGAUGAAGGCCUUCGGGUUGUAAACUGCUUUUGUACGGAACGAAAAGCCCCGGGUUAAUACCCUGGGGUCAUGACGGUACCGUAAGAAUAAGCACCGGCUAACUACGUGCCAGCCGCCGCAGUAA